AGGGUUGGGGUGCCCCUUCUUUGACCUUGUGGCUUGGGGCUGUGGCCUUAGGCCAAGCCUGUCCAUCAUCAAAGCACAAACUUCCCCAAUCCACAUGGGCCGGUCUGUGAGGAGAGUGGGAACCUAGGUCCCAAUGCCCUAAAGCUGUUCAUUUGCCUGACUGUGUGGUGUGGAGGCUGCAGGGCACCACGGCAGCUGUAGAGAAGGUUCUGGAGCCAGAUAGGGCCUGCCCUGGCUUCUUCGUGUCUUCUGCUCUAGUCCUGGCUUUUCCUCAGAGGAGGAUGAAUCGUGAGCAGUACUCACCUGUCUGCUUGCCCCUACUAUUUCUUCUGGAGCUCCCAGGGUCACCUCCGUGCCCUUUUGCUGCCCGGGGUAAGGGCUUGGGGUCUUAGAAGCUGCCGUUUUAGCUCCCCCACCCACACUUUUGCUUUGUUUUUUGUUUUGGUCUUUGUGCAAUAAUCGAUGUCCCUGGCAGAGCCAGGGCUGAACUGGGGCCUGGGCAGAGGCCAUCUUGUCCAGCCAGCCCCCCAGCCUGGCUCUGCUGCUGUGACUCACUUCCGGUCACUGUACAGUUUCUACAGUGUGAACGAACUUCCCCCUCCUAGUUGCUGAAGGCGCUGGUCCCUGCUGGCCCAGAUGGCCUGGGCAUAGGGAAACCAAGCCACACCGCCAGCCAGCGUUGUUUUGAAUAAAACCCCAGAAACCUA
rnacentral:lncRNA from 1 species